ACCUGGGUGGCUCAGUCGGUUAAGUGUCCGACUUCAGCUCAGGUCAUGAUCUUACGGCUUGUGGGUUCAAGCCCCACGUCAGGUU
rnacentral:tRNA from 1 species